rnacentral:rRNA from 1 species
CCUACGGGAGGCAGCAGUGGGGAAUUUUCCGCAAUGGGCGAAAGCCUGACGGAGCAACGCCGCGUGAGGGAUGAAGGCCUCUGGGCUGUAAACCUCUUUUAUCAAGGAAGAAGAUCUGACGGUACUUGAUGAAUAAGCCACGGCUAAUUCCGUGCCAGCAGCCGCGGUAAUACGGGAGUGGCAAGCGUUAUCCGGAAUUAUUGGGCGUAAAGCGUCCGCAGGCGGUCUUGUAAGUCUGUCGUUAAAGCGUGGAGCUUAACUCCAUUUCGGCGGUGGAAACUACAAGACUAGAGUGUGGUAGGGGCAGAGGGAAUUCCCGGUGUAGCGGUGAAAUGCGUAGAUAUCGGGAAGAACACCAGUGGCGAAGGCGCUCUGCUGGGCCAUAACUGACGCUCAUGGACGAAAGCUAGGGGAGCGAAAGGGAUUAGAUACCCCUGUAGUCCUAGCCGUAAACGAUGAACACUAGGUGUCGGGGAAUCGACCCCCUCGGUGUCGUAGCUAACGCGUUAAGUGUUCCGCCUGGGGAGUACGCACGCAAGUGUGAAACUCAAAGGAAUUGACGG